rnacentral:rRNA from 1 species
CGGGUGAGUAACGCGUGAGGAACCUGCCUCAAAGAGGGGGACAACAGUUGGAAACGACUGCUAAUACCGCAUAAGCCCACGGUGCCGCAUGGCACAGAGGGAAAAGGAGCAAUCCGCUUUGAGAUGGCCUCGCGUCCGAUUAGCUAGUUGGUGAGGUAACGGCCCACCAAGGCAACGAUCGGUAGCCGGACUGAGAGGUUGAACGGCCACAUUGGGACUGAGACACGGCCCAGACUCCUACGGGAGGCAGCAUG